rnacentral:rRNA from 1 species
AUUGAACGCUGGCGGCAGGCCUAACACAUGCAAGUCGAACGGUAACAGGAAGCAGCUUGCUGCUUCGCUGACGAGUGGCGGACGGGUGAGUAAUGUCUGGGAAGCUGCCUGAUGGAGGGGGAUAACUCCUGGAAACGGUAGCUAAUACCGCAUAAUGUCGCAAGACCAAAGAGGGGGACCUUCGGGCCUCUUGCCAUCCGAUGUUCCCAGAUGGGAUUAGCUUGUUGGUGGGGUAACGGCUCACCAAGGCGACGAUCCCUAGCUGGUCUGAGAGGAUGACCAGCCACACUGGGACUGAGACACGGUCCAGACUCCUACGGGAGGCAGCAGUGGGGAAUAUUGCACAAUGGGCGCAAGCCUGAUGCAGCAAUGCCGCGUGUAUGAAGAAGGCCUUCGGGUUGUAAAGUACUUUCAGCGGGGAGGAAGGGAGUAAAGUUAAUACCUUUGCUCAUUGACGUUACCCGCAGAAGAAGCACCGGCUAACUCCGUG